rnacentral:rRNA from 1 species
AGCAGCCGCGGUAAUUCCAGCUCCAAUAGCGUAUAUUAAAGUUGUUGCAGUUAAAAAGCUCGUAGUUGAACUUCGGGGUCUACCCAUUGGUCAGGCUUAAUUGUCUGCACUGGUGAGAUGGAUCUCUACCUUCUGAGGAACUUUCAUGCCAUUUAUUUGGUGUGGUUGGAAAUCAGGACUGUUACUUUGAAAAAUUAGAGUGUUUAAAGCAGACUAUCGUCUGAAUACAUUAGCAUGGAAUAAUGAAAUAGGACGGACUGAUUCUAUUUCGUUGGUUUCUAGGAUCACCGUAAUGAUUAAUAGGGAUAGUUGGGGGCAUUAGUAUUCAAUUGUCAGAGGUGAAAUUCUUGGAUUUAUUGAAGACUAACUACUGCGAAAGCAUUUGCCAAGGAUGUUUUCAUUAAUCAAGAACGAAAGUUAGGGGAUCGAAGACGAUCAGAUACCGUCGUAGUCUUAACCAUAAACUAUGCCGACUAGGGAUCGGACGAAGUUAAUUUUAUAAUGACGCGUUC